AUGAACAGUAAGAGAGAGGGAAAAAAUCGUAAGAUGAGAUCACAUAUUUAAGAAUAGUUUUGGUUGAUAGUUUUUUUUUU
rnacentral:ribozyme from 1 species